rnacentral:rRNA from 1 species
AUGAACGCUGGCGGCGUGCCUAAUACAUGCAAGUCGAGCGAACGGACGAGAAGCUUGCUUCUCUGAUGUUAGCGGCGGACGGGUGAGUAACACGUGGAUAACCUACCUAUAAGACUGGGAUAACUUCGGGAAACCGUAGCUAAUACCGGAUAAUAUUUUGAACCGCAUGGUUCAAAAGUGAAAGACGGUCUUGCUGUCACUUAUAGAUGGAUCCGCGCUGCAUUAGCUAGUUGGUAAGGUAACGGCUUACCAAGGCAACGAUGCAUAGCCGACCUGAGAGGGUGAUCGGCCACACUGGAACUGAGACACGGUCCAGACUCCUACGGGAGGCAGCAGUAGGGAAUCUUCCGCAAUGGGCGAAAGCCUGACGGAGCAACGCCGCGUGAGUGAUGAAGGUCUUCGGAUCGUAAAACUCUGUUAUUAGGGAAGAACAUAUGUGUAAGUAGCUGUGCACAUCUUGACGGUACCUAAUCAGAAAGCCACGGCUAACUACGUG